CUACGAAGGAGACUGCUGUGAGAUGCACCACUCCCAAAACCGCCCUGACUGACAGUAAAGCAAUAUGCCCCAGGAAGUGGGGCUGAAGGUAGUGUGCAUUACAAUAGUGAAGCCUGAAGGUGACAAAUGCAUGGACCACCAUGGCCAGAUCCUUAUGUGUCAGAGGUCAUCAAGUGAUUGGGGACACAGAACAGAAUGAACCAGGACUGGUGAAGUCAUUUCAGAUGUUAAUCUUUUCAGUAGUAAAGUACAAUGAAGCUCUUCACAGUAGGAUGCACUUGGAUCUGAGUGUGUUAACAGCAAUCAGCAGCUGCCUGACAAAUAGUUGGCUACCAAACUUCCCUAGAGAGUGAAUCAUUUGCAGUGAUAUCAGGGAAAUUCCUAAUCAUAAUCGGUGAGAUUUAUUGAUGCCACUAAUGCGGUGAUGUAUGAGCUUUUGGGAGAAGCCAUUUGAAAAGAUGUAUAUGCAGUCUUCAAGCUACUGGAUUUCCAGAUGCACACUGAUCCUCUCCAACUGCAGCUGCUUCUGCUCCAGCUACUGAGCUGUCCACCAUUCCUAAUUCAGUGAUAUGCUUGGUCUGGAUGGAAUAUAAUUGCUGCAUCUGUCAACCUCUUUCCUGCUUCCCUCCAGGGCAUUGGCUCCAAGACUUCCCUUGUGUGCUGGACUCUCAGACAGCCGUCUGGAGGUUCUUUGUGAACUUGGACCAUCGUUUCUUGCAGGGCUUUGGAGCGGAGCCCAGAGCUGGAGCGUGGAGCAGCUCUGGAGCAGUGGAGCUGCAGGUUUUUGCCUGGAGCUGGAGUGGAGCCAGAGCACAUCUCCAAAGCCCUGGUUUCUUGACUGGUUGUUCAAAUACAGCUGUGAUUUUGUUCUAUCCACAGGGUUGAUCUGUCCUUCUCAGCAUAACUCAACCACCUGAUUUUAAUUCAGCUGGUCAUAAUUCAUUUCCCCCUUUCCCUCUUUCUGCUAUUUCCCCCCAUAAACAGACUAUUGAAGCUUUUUCCUUUGUGCUUUUCGGUCUACAGUACACGUUUUUGCUGCUCUUGGCACUUAUGCAAUUCACACUGUUACAGAUCCCACAAACUCUGCCACCAUAUAUGUCACAUUUCUAGGCAACUGCACCUGUAUUUCCCCUCAGUGGUCCAGCAAGGGACACUCACUGCCAGGCUUCCAGCUCCCCAGCUGUUGCCUUGCUUGGGUGGAGACCUGUGACGCUCUCCCUUCUGACUGGGGUAUUUCCAGGCUGCUCACAUCCCUGCCUUCACUGUGUUACUCCCAGCACAGACAGGUUACCCAAGCACACCUGCUUGCUUUCUCCUCAGAAAUGGUUAACAAGUGUAAUUGCUACAGUUAUAAGUACCACACAGCACUUCCCAUGCAAGCCUAUUUUAGUCUUAAGGUAAAAAGCAUUACAGAGAAAACAAAUUAACAACAAUAAAAGAACAUACACACAUGCUAGUAAAUUUACCAGAGAUCACCCCAAACCUAACAUGGGUCUGGCAGGAGCAGCCUUUCAGUAUCCCAGCCUAUAAGCUUUGUUGUGGUUACAAGUUCAAGAGAGCUUCAACUUAGAACAAAACAUAGUUUUAGUAGGCCCAGUCCUUCCAAUCCUACCCUAGGGAUUGGGGCCCUCAAUGGACUAGGGGCCCUGUCCAUUUGCUGGGUGAGAAAGAAGGCGCUGCAUCAGUUUAAAUCCAGGCUAUUUUUCAAAAAAAUUGUUCUUUGGCUGUUGGUCUCUGGAAAAUCCAGUUUGAACUAGUAUAUGUAUUUGUCCCCAGGGGUGUCUUCAAAGGGCUGAUAACCUAAAUAAUUACAUUACCAUCCCCCUCCUACUAGAAAAGGUACAUAUAAUGCCACAAUAACACAUAUGUAAUUACAUUUUUAAUACAAUGUACCCCAAAGGUAUUAAAUCUAAUUCAAUAACAUGUAACUUAAUUCAAUAAAGUUCAUCUUAAUUUCAUAAAAUGUGAUCAGGAUAUUACAGGAUGUUGUCAAUCUGUCACACAUAUUUGCCAUUAGAAAAAUGGGGAGCAAAGAGCUUGUGUGUGCAUUUCAGGAAAAAGAAGUUGAAAAAUAACUACCAGCAUUUUACUACAGAGGAAUGAAAAUUACCUGUUCUCUGUAUUGUUGUCCAUUCGACCUGUGUUUUUAGAGGUGGGCGUUUGUUUGUUAGCGAAUAGAGAGAAGAUGUAAAGAUUUUUUUCCCUUUUCUUUUUCGAAGUAAGAAAUCCCUCAGAAAUGUGGAAAAAAAGACCAUAGAUCAUGCCAAGCUCAUAUGGCAAGAGGACUACUCAUAUGAGUAAAGUUUGCACAGACAGGCACAGAGCAAUGAUUGUUGUUUGAGCUGCUUUUAGACAAUGAGGCGGUCAAUUGCCGGUCUGUCACCGUGUUGAUGUUAUUGGUCUUGCUGGAGUACGUAACAGGGAAGACUGUGUGAAGGUUGCCACUCCUCAAGCACAGAGUGAGGAAGAGGAAAUCUACUGAUUUGCAUGGGUGGCAGGUAUAAUAGGCUAGGGGAGGCUGUGCCU